AAACCAGGCACCUGGAGCCCUGCAAAGGUCGGCGCUAUGAAGGAUGUCUGGCCAGCUGUUUGAAAUGGAAUUUGCACGAAGGUUUUCCAGGAAGGACACUAAAAGCUGAUCACAGGCUUGCUGUGAAAUCAUCAAAGAGAAUUAACCACUGAAGAUAUCUGGAAUACAGGUCAAUGUCCCCGACUCCACCUGCCCCCUCCUCCCCUUCCAUUCUCACACAACCUGGGCAGAGGGGUCAGGCACAGCUUGCACAGCCCUUCACGAAUGUCCUCAUGACCGGAGCAUAUCUGACAGGAUCAGAAAUUCUUUUAGUUCAUGGGUUAUUAAAUCCUGAGGUUUGAAUAUAAUCUCUUAUGUGUGUAAAGUCAAGCCUCUAGGGAUAUACAUUUAUUUUGUUGUUUUUCAAUGGCAUUGACUCUAACGUUUCCCUCCUAGGGCUUGUCUAGGUGGUUCUCUCCCAAGUUUGGUCGAACCCAGGAGCCAGGCAAUUAGAUACUAAAAGAAGAUGGCUUAAAAUACGAAAGAAACCAUUUGCCUAGAGGAUGCCUCACAGCAAAAGUCUUUAUAUAACUCCCAACUCAUCUUUUCCUGUGACCUCAUCGACUGGUCCUUGUCACAUCAGACCAUCACCAGUUAUCCGUCAACUCCGUGCUCACUCUGACUGUGUAUUGACUUGGACCUGGCACCGGACUUGGUUCUGAGGAUACAUAGUUCAUGUUUUCCUUUCUGGAGAACUCACUGAAGAGAGAAACCUUGGCAGCCGUGAUGGUUUUCCCACCGUGGACUGCGUCGAAUAGGAACACUUGAAUGCCUUCGGA
rnacentral:lncRNA from 1 species